GCUGGCGGCAGGCCUAACACAUGCAAGUCGAGCGCGCCUUCGGGCGAGCGGCGGACGGGUUAGUAACGCGUGGGAACGUGCCCAGAUCUACGGAAUAGCCACUGGAAACGGUGAGUAAUACCGUAUACGCCCUUCGGGGGAAAGAUUUAUCGGAUUUGGAUCGGCCCGCGUUAGAUUAGGUAGUUGGUGGGGUAACGGCCUACCAAGCCUACGAUCUAUAGCUGGUUUUAGAGGAUGAUCAGCAACACUGGGACUGAGACACGGCCCAGACUCCUACGGGAGGCAGCAGUGGGGAAUCUUGGACAAUGGGGGCAACCCUGAUCCAGCCAUGCCGCGUGAGUGAAGAAGGCCCUAGGGUCGUAAAACUCUUUCGCCUGUGAUGAUAAUGACAGUAGCAGGUAAAGAAACCCCGGCUAACUCCGUGCCAGCAGCCGCGGUAAUACGGAGGGGGUUAGCGUUGUUCGGAAUUACUGGGCGUAAAGCGCACGUAGGCGGAUUAGAAAGUUAGAGGUGAAAUCCCGGGGCUCAACCCCGGAACUGCCUUUAAAACUACUAGUCUAGAGUUCGAGAGAGGUGAGUGGAAUUCCGAGUGUAGAGGUGAAAUUCGUAGAUAUUCGGAGGAACACCAGUGGCGAAGGCGGCUCACUGGCUCGAUACUGACGCUGAGGUGCGAAAGUGUGGGGAGCAAACAGGAUUAGAUACCCUGGUAGUCCACACCGUAAACGAUGAAUGCCAGUCGUCGGGUAGUAUACUAUUCGGUGACACACCUAACGGAUUAAGCAUUCCGCCUGGGGAGUACGGUCGCAAGAUAAACUCAAAUGAUGACGGUC
rnacentral:rRNA from 1 species